ACAUUUACUCGCCUUUUUCUCCCUUCCUUUCUCCCUCACGGUAUAUUUCUAUCUCUUUCACCUUGCCGGGAGACUCCCCGAAGUAGCGAUCGAAAGUGAUCUACGCAGACCGGCUGCGGGCGGACGUAGAUCGUCGAGUGCGACGCGUCGACGGCGUGAGAAAAUAAAGGAAGCGUUAGUUAUCGAAAAGCGCUUCGGUUUCGGUUUGGUGCACUUCUUUCCCGCCUGGAUUCUCGGCGUAUCCUUGUGGCUCAUGUCAUCACGAAAUCAGCCUUGGUGUAAGCUGAUAUCGUGAUACCUUUCUUCGAAUGUUGAGAUUCGAUUUGAAGUCGAAGCGGUCAGAUUCCGUCGCGCGCCUAAGACCGAGGACGACUCGUGAUCUCGCGAACAAUCGCGUUGUAUUGACGAGAGCGAGUGAAGCGCAUUUCUUGUCGAAGUUCUUUGUCGACUUCUUGGCGAAGGAAAUAUUAUCCCGAGAAUUCGUGUGCGGAUUGUCCCGAUUUUCGCCGGAGAAAUGUCCGCGCGCGCGCGCGCGUCGUUGGCACGAAGAAUGUCGUGUAAAAAGAGCCGUCCUCGUCGUUCGUCCUCGAAUGUACGGAGAUGUAAUUCCUCAGACGGUCCAAGUAGAUCUCGUCGAUACGAGAUCCUCGGAGGAUCACGUGACGUCGAUAAGAGGAAAGGCAAGCGGCUUCAUCGAUCCGUCCCGAGCCUAUCCGGGUGCAACUAGGCCGUCUCUCAGGAUCCCCAAUGGAGACAAUCCGUUGUAGAUCCUGGAGAGGAGUUUUCCGGGAUACUCGUCCUCGCGAUACUCGAGAAAAAUCGGAAAAAUCGUCCAUCGGUGAUUAAAAAAGGAUAAAGCGUCGCGACGGGAUGAGGCCGGCGAACAUUACAACAUCUAGAACGGUCCUUUCUCGAGCACCAAAAUUUGUGGCGUUGUAGAAAAAUCGUUUCCUCUUUUUUUUCUUUUUUAUUUUUUAUUCUUUAUUCUUCAUUUUUACUUUUUUCAUCGUCAGCGUGCGCGUGUUUAUAAUGUGCGAGUAAAAAUGCUUACCCUACUGCUGCCGAAGUCGCGCUAUUGUUAUUUGAGGUAACGGCUAAUUAUAAAGGUUAAGGGUUGGACUGAAGUGUGCAGCAGGACGGCGACGCAAUUUCCAGCCGGGAGAGAGAGAGAGAGAGAGAGAGAGAGAGAGAGAGAGAGAGAGAGAGAGAGAGAGAGAGAGAAAGAAAGAACGGAUCGUGGAGCGCUUGAAACGAAUAUCACGCGAAACGUGAAAGAGGAAAUGGCCGCUUGCGAAACGCGAUGCGGAUUAUGCUAAUCUUAUUUCGCGCGCGCAUGCGGCGCAAGAGAAACGCGCGCGUGACGUGAAAUUAUACUGAUAAAUAAAAUGAAUUGUCCCGCCGCGUCCUCGAGGAACAAUAUUAUCGUCUGAGGCAUUAACGAGUAUUAUCCGAUUAAUAUUAAUUAACGAGUAUUAUCCAGGGGAGUAACGCGGAACGGUGCAACGCGUAAGAAAUACACUGACGAGAAAGACGGACGAGAGAAGGACGACAGAUAAAGAGCCGAGCGCGGAGACGGACGAAUUGUAAGAUUAACGCGAUACACACUCGCGACAGAGACAUUUAUUUUUAAACAACUGCGAGAAACGGAGAGAGAGAAAAUAGGGCAUAGCUGCCGUCUAAUUCAGUGAUAUCCAUUAAGGGAGAGAAAAGACAAAGUUGGAAGACUGACAAAGACGAAGACUGAUCAAAUGUGAAACUCACGAUAAGGAAGUUUAUUAUUGAACAUUUGUGAGGAAGGGGGGGAGAGAGAGAGAGAGAGAGAGAGAGAGAGAGAGAGAGAGAGAGGGAAAAGAAAGGAAAGAAACAACGUUGAAUAGAGACGGACGAGUUGUGUAGAAAUCGCACGAUACACUUAGACGAUAGAGACGCCGAUUGUCGAACAAUGCGAGAAAAACGGAGAGAGAGGG